UAGUCAUAUGCUUGUCUCAAAGAUUAAGCCAUGCAUGUUUACGAUUAAGUCUUUAUACGGCGAAUCUGCGAAUGGCUCAUUAAAACAGUUAUAGUCUCCUCCGUGGUUAACUCCUAUACGGAUAACUGUGGUAAUUCUAGAGCUAAUACGUGCGUCAAUACCCGACUUCAAGGAAGGGUUGUAUUUAUUAGAUACUAAACCAAUCCGCUUCGGCGGUUUCUGGCUGACUCAUAAUAAACGAACGAAUCGCACUGGCAUGUGCCGGCGAUGUACGGUUCGAGUUUCUGACCUAUCAACUGUCGACGGUAGGGUAUUGGCCUACCGUGGUUAUGACGGGUAACGGAGAAUUAGGGUUCGAUUCCGGAGAGGGAGCCCGAGAAACGGCUACCACAUCUAAGGAAGGCAGCAGGCGCGCAAAUUACCCAAUUCUGACACAGAGAGGUAGUGACAAGAAAUAACAAAGUAGGGCCUUCACGGUCUUUACUAUUGGAAUGAGUAGAAUUUAAAUCCCUUUACGACUAUCAAUUGGAGGGCAAGUCUGGUGCCAGCAGCCGCGGUAAUUCCAGCUCCAAUAGCGUAUAUUAAAGUUGUUGCGGUUAAAAAGCUCGUAGUUGGAUUUCUGUUGAGGAGGUCCGGUCCGCAUCUUAGUGCGUGUAUCUGGUUCCGCCUUGGCAUCUUCUUGUGGAACGCGUUGCGAUUGAUUUCGUGACCGGUACAUAAGACAUUUACUUUGAGGAAAUUAGAGUGUUUCAGGCAGGCUUGCGCCUUGAAUAUAUUAGCAUGGAAUAAUAAUAUAAGACCAGCGUCUAAUUAUUGGUUUUUGGAUGCUGGUAAUGAUUAAUAGGGAUAAUUGGGGGCAUUUGUAUUAACGCGUCAGAAGUGGAAUUCUUGGAUUGCGUUACGACAAACUAAUGCGAAAGCAUUUGCCAAGGAUGUUUUCAUUGAUCAAGAACGAAAGUGUGGGGAUCGAAAACGAUUAGAUACCGUGNUAGUCUACACCAUAGACUAUGCCACCUAGAGAUUGGGCGUCGUUAUUUAUAAGACUCGCUCAGCACCAUAUGAGAAAUCAAAGUUUUUUGGGUUCCGGGGGGAGUCUGGUCGCAAGGCUGAAACUUAAAGGAAUUGACGGAAGGGCACCACCAGGAGUGGAGCCUGCGGCUUAAUUUGACUCAACACGGGAAAACUUACCAGGUCCAGACAUAGUAAGGAUUGACAGAUUGAUAGCUCUUUCUUGAUUCUAUGGGUGGUGGUGCAUGGCCGUUCUUAGUUGGUGGAGUGAUUUGUCUGGUUAAUUUCGUUAACGAACGAGACCUUAUCCUGCUAAAUAGUUCAAUUUAUCUUCGGAUAGAUUGCUUACUUCUUAGAGGGACUUUGUGCGUUUAGCGCAAGGAAGUUUGAGGCAAUAACAGGUCUGUGAUGCCCUUAGAUGUUCUGGGCUGCACGCGCGCUACACUGAUGCGUUCAACGAGUUUAUAACCUUGCCCGAUAGGGUUGGGCAAUCUUCUGAAAACGCAUCGUGAUGGGGAUAGAUUAUUGUAAUUAUUAAUCUUCAACGAGGAAUUCCUAGUAAGCACGAGUCAUCAGCUCGCGCUGAUUACGUCCCUGCCCUUUGUACACACCGCCCGUCGCUCCUACCGAUUGAGUGGUCCGGUGAGCUAUUUGGAUCGUGCCACAGUCAGGUUCGCCUCGACUGCGGCGUGAGAAGUCUCGCAAACCUUAUCACUUAGAGGAAGGAGAAGUCGUAACAAGGUUUCCGUAG
rnacentral:rRNA from 1 species